GCUAGUGUAGCUUAUGCAAAGCAUGGCACUGAAAAUGCUAAGAUAAAAUUUAAAAACUUUCACAAGCA
rnacentral:tRNA from 2 species